CACAACAUUAACAGUCAUUCUCAAUCUGAAUACCUCAUGAAGAACUCUUCCUGUGUUUUUUAUUGUAGCACUACUUGAAUUACACAGGCAGUUAACAGAUUCCAGCAAUAUACUAGUACUAAAUUAUCUUUAGGCAAAGAAAAGUAAGAGUUCCGAAAGAACAUCUAAUUAAAAUUGGCAUUUGAAGAUUGCUUCCUCACAGUAUUUAUGUUAAACAUGAGGUCUGAUAUGAUGAGCCAAAAUUCAAGGAUUUGAUACUAUUCAUAUAUUUUCUACAGCCUAGUUAUAAAGGUGAAGAAACGGAAGCCAGCAGUCAUGGUUGAUGUCCUCACCCUGUGUUCCUGUCUGCCAAGCACGAGCAAGUUGCUGCUGCAGGGAAAUGGGACUAAUUGCAGUUCUUUGCCAUGUGACUCAUCCUUGCCAGUUUCUAACACUUUUGCCAGGGCACCAAUUUCUUAUUCUCUGUGUGAAAGUCUUGUAUCUCAUUUAAUUUCUCACUGUAUACAACCCUGCACAAAAUUAUCUGGUAAGGCUAAUGGAAUUACUGAAGUACAUUUCUCUCAGCUUACUCCAGUUGGUCACUUACUAUGCCCUCUGCUCAAACCACGCCCCUCUGAGGGCAGGCAGGGCUGUGAGUACCUCAUCGGCUGAAUUUUGUGUGCCCCCGAGCACUGGCACAGCACCGCUCAUAGUGUAAAGUCUUGAUAGUUUUUACAAUCUGCUCUUCUCCUGUCCUUCAUGAAAUUACAGCAGUAAUUUCUUCUAAAUAUAGUAAUUCCUAAAUCAACACUAUUCACACUUUGAUACUAUCUCAGCAUGAAAGCAACAUCAGCUACCAUGUGAGGACUUUGUUAAAGAAAUGAUUCUUAAUUACAUCAUGAACCAAGAGGCAAACACAGAAUUUUGAUAAAUACUACAGUUACUGGUCAGUGCUAUGCGCACAACAGAGGCUCAAGACAGGGAGCACUCGCUCAGAAAAAUCUUGAGGAAGGAGUGUGGAGUUAAUCAGACUGUUAAAGUACUAAAACACUAAAGUACUAAAUAAAAUACUAAAAUAAAAAUUUUAAGGAGAACCUCAACUGUGGUCAUGUGUAUACACACAUUCAGAGAACUUACACUAGAAAUGAGAAAAUGGAUACUAUUAUGAUAUGUGAUACUGCAAGAGUUAUAUGAAAAGACUUAAAAACACAUCAGUAACAUUUGAACAGAAUGAUAAAGGGAAGACAUUCACAACACUAUAAAAAUAAGACACUAGGAAAGGGUUCACUUAAAAUAAACUUUACAUUGACAUUUAAUUUGAAAGGUACCUGUUAUGUCCUAGUUGUUUAUUCUCUCCCUUCUUCUGUCUGACCAUCCAUCCAUCUGUCCCUCUCUACUUUCCUCCUUCCCUCUGCUUUUCCUUCACCCCUUUUUUGAGACAGUUUUUAUGUAGUUUAGGCUGGCUUUGAAACCAAUAUGUAGCCCAGCCUGGGGUUGAACUCCUGAUACUCCUGGAUUUAUCAAAAGUGCUGGGAUUGCAGCUUAAUCAGUUCCUUGCCGAAAAGCUCUUCAGCCUCAAUACCAGCAAGUUCCUGAUCACGGUUUUCACCAAUGUCCGAUUCUAACAUUUCUCAAGCACCACUACCUCCUUGCUGUUUCAUCAAUAGCAGGGGUGCCGUUAAAGCCUUUGGAUGCGAUGCUACAACUUCAAAGCUUUCUUCUAAAAGUGUUUCUUGCAGGCACCGUAUGUGACUUCUCAGGACAGCAUUUAGUAUGUUCAAACUUUUCCAGAAUUCUCAGGGGGGUUAGUUAGUGCCCAUUGCUUCAUCAGCCUUUGAAUGCAAUAUGCUCAACAAAGAAGCAACUUUCUUGGGUGAAUGAACAGGUAGCUAUGUGAGCUGCAGGAACUCAAAAAUAACAACUCUCUCAACUCAGUGGGCUGUCUUAAGGAACCACGGGGAAUCAAGAACAAUUGCUACUGCUGAUUGAACCACAAAGGCAUGGACACUGCAAAAGUGCUACAAUAAAAAUUUCAAAAAGA